rnacentral:tRNA from 1 species
UCUCUGAUGGCUCAGCUGGUAAAGAAUCUGCUUGCAAUGCAGGAGACCUGGGUUCGAUCCCUGGGCUGGGAA